AGAAACAGUCUUUGCUUACAAUUCUGUACAAACAUCUCAUGCAAAAUUUCUUCAUGUUGGUUUUUCAGGUUUUUUUAAUUUUGACUCGCUGUUUCUUUUAUUGCCUUUUAGUCCAGGCCGUGACCAUUUUUAAUCGCAACAUUAAAAAAAUUAUCCAGUUAAGUGAUUUUGAAACUAUGAUCCAUUUUCCUGGUCUUGAUCAGGACUCUGGCAGCAGCAUGCUGGAUGAGAUACAGCUGCCUGAUUGAGCAGGCACCAAUUUUUCUGCUUCCUGUUUUGAAAGCAAACCAGUGCUGGCCAAUGCUUCUAAGAUGAUGCUGGAGGAAAGUCUGACCCAUCCACUCAGUGAUGUUUGGACUCAGUGACUGUAGCGGACUGUAGUCAUGCGCGAUAUAAAAUUGUGGGUCAUCAGCAUACAUAUGAUAAGAGCUGUAGUAUUCUAUAAUCUGAAAGUGGUCCGAGAAUGGGCCGUGGAGGAACCCCACAAUUUAAAGACACAAGGUGAUAAAGUUCUACUAUAUAUCAUUUUAAAUCUUUUUCACGUGCCAGUUUUUUGAAUUUGUAAUCUCGAUGAUAUAAAACCUGUUUGUGUUUACCUCUGAAGAACAGUACGAUACAACCUUCAUUAAAGAUGGACUCAAAGUUAAGUCACUUCCUUCUUCUUCAGUUUAUGCAACUUCUGGCAAUAAAAGCAUAAAGAAAACAGAUGUGUUUUGGAAGUUUUAAGUGUCCGCCCAUCAUGCCAGAUGAGGCAAACAAUUAUAUGGUGUAGCUGCUAAUUUCCAAAGUUAUAUAGAAAAACUUUAAAGGAAAGGGUCUGCAGCAGCAAGAAGGGUAAAGUUACACAUUUAUUUUUCAUAUUACUGCAAUGCUUUUCAUUAUACUGUUGAACAUCAGCAGAAAAAAACAUUUUGUUAUUUAACUUGUCUGCCAUCACAUCCAAGCAA